rnacentral:rRNA from 1 species
GGCAACCCUGACGGAGCAACGCCGCGUGCGGGAAGACGGCCUGUGGGUUGUAAACCGCUUUUCUCAGGGAAGAAGCUCUGACGGUACCUGAGGAAUCAGCCUCGGCUAACUCCGUGCCAGCAGCCGCGGUAAUACGGAGGAGGCAAGCGUUAUCCGGAAUUAUUGGGCGUAAAGCGUCCGCAGGUGGCGAUUCAAGUCUGCUGUCAAAGCACGGGGCUUAACUCCGUUAAGGCAGUGGAAACUGAAUGGCUAGAGUGCCGUAGGGGUAGAGGGAAUUCCCAGUGUAGCGGUGAAAUGCGUAGAGAUUGGGAAGAACACCGGUGGCGAAAGCGCUCUACUGGACCACACCUGACACUCAGAGGACGAAAGCUAGGGGAGCG